rnacentral:rRNA from 1 species
UGGGGAAUUUUUCGCAAUGGGGGAAACCCUGACGAAGCAACGCCGCGUGGAGGAUGAAGGCCUUCGGGUCGUAAACUCCUGUCGACCGGGAAGAAUGCACCCGACCUAAUACAUCGAAGUGUUGACUGUACCGGUGGAGGAAGCCACGGCUAACUCUGUGCCAGCAGCCGCGGUAAGACAGUGGUGGCGAGCGUUGUUCGGAAUCACUGGGCUUAAAGGGCGCGUAGGUGGUAGGGUGAGUCCAGGGUGGAAUCCUAUGGCUUAACCAUAGAAUUGCCUUGGAGACUGCUUUACUUGAGUCAGUAAGGGGAGGGCAGAAUUCCUGGUGUAGCGGUGAAAUGCGUAGAUAUCAGGAGGAAGGCCGGUGGCGGAGGCGGCCCUCUGGUACUGGACUGACGCUGAGGCGCGAAAGCGUGGGGAGCGAACAGGAUUAGAUACCCUGGUAGUCCACGCCCUAAACGGUGGGCACUAGGUGUAGGGCUCGUAAGGGUUCUGUGCCGAAGGGAAACCAUUAAGUGCCCCGCCUGGGGAGUACGGCCGCAAGGCUG